rnacentral:tmRNA from 1 species
GGGGAUGUUUUGGUUUUGACAGCACAAGACAUCGGAAUGUAAGCAUACCGGGGUUGAAACCUACCUCGUUAUCAAGGUUUCAAAGCCAAUAACUGGCAACAACAAUUAUGCGCUCGCUGCGUAGUAAACGGAGUUUACUGCCUUAAUCGCAGUCGCCAAGGGCGAUAGCGACGAGUAUCCCGCCUGACUUUCUGCCUGCCAUGUCAGGUAUAUGGGGUAUCAUUCAAGCAGGAUGCGGUCACUGACUCCCUUAAUGUGGCCAAAGACUGAAGGGAUAAGAACAGGAUAGCAUGUCUGUCUGCAGUCUUGUUACGAAAAACAACGGCAGAAUAAGUAUGUAGAAAGCACUCGGGUGCUGUGUCUGGACGGCGGUUCGAGUCCGCCCAUCUCCACA